CAGCUGGGGCCCUCUGAUGAGAAAAAUCAAAGAUUUGCAGCAUCAAACAGGUUGUUGAUACCAUGCGCUCCUCUCUGACACCACGAGAGAAACCCUGACAUCCUGGCAAGAGAUGCAGUUGGACUUGGCAAGGCCCCAUUGCAUCAGCAGCAACGUGGGAACAAGGGCAAGAACGACACGGGCUACAGCUUCUGCUUUGAUACACAGGUGCUGACGGACAAUUUCCAAGGACAAAUCUGCAAAACAGUAUUCUGCUUGAUUCAGACUGGACCAGAUCUCUCCUCCCUGUACCUGGGCAACAAACUUGCUUCCCAUGUGUUCUGUUGAUGCUCCUCAAACACCCGCUGGGGAAAUGCAAACUGGUGCCAGGCACAUGAGUGAAGAGCCACCUUCUGGCCCGCCCCUUGUCAACCGAGUCACUCUGAGCCAACAGGGUCCAGAUACUAUGGAGCAGACACAGGCUAUCCACAUUGUGUCUCAUCCAAACUCCUGACCCACGGACUCCUUGAGCAUGAGGAGAUGGCAAGAAUACUGGAGUGAGUUGCCAUUCCCUUCUCGCCAAGGGAUCUUCCUGACCCAGGGAUUGAACCUGGGUCUCCUGUGUCUCCUGCAUUGCACAUGGAUUCUUUACUGCUGAGCCACUGGGGAAGGCCCAAGUAAGUAUGUUUGACUGCAUCUACC
ensembl:lncRNA